AAACUUUCAACAACGGAUCUCUUGGCUCUCGCAUCGAUGAAGAACGCAGCGAAAUGCGAUAAGUAGUGUGAAUUGCAGAACUUUGUGAACCAUCGAAUCUUUGAACGCAAAUUGCGCCUUCCUUCGGAAGGCAUGUCUGUUUGAGGGCAC
rnacentral:rRNA from 1 species